AGAGAGAGAGAGAGAGAGAGAUAAUAGGUUUCUGUUUUGUUGGGGUUGAAGCCUCCUUUCACUCUCUUCUGGCCAUCACUAUCAUUGUCCCAUUUGUACAGCUUUUGUUUUUUUACUCGCUUCCAUUCUCUCUCUUUCUCUCUGUUUCUCUGUUCUCUUUCUGUUUCUUCUUUUGAUUCACUCCCAUUGAAUCUCUCUCGUUCUUUAUCUUUUUUGUAAUCUGGGUUUUGUUGGAAAGGCUCAAUAAUUCGAGUAACAAAAGUUUAAAUUUCAAUAUUGUGGGAAAAGUCUUUCUUUUUUUUUUCUUUUUCGUUUUGUUUUGUUUUCGGGUUUGUGAUAUCUGUUUCAUCUUCUUUUCUGUGUUUCGAGUUGUUUGAUUCACAAUGACUGUGGAGGACAAAAAGUGUGGUUUAGUCAAUGAAGAUAAGUUUCCAGUGGGCAUGAGUAUUUUAGCUGUUGAUGAUGACCCAAUUUGCCUUAAAGUUCUAGAGAAUCUGCUUCGGAAAUGCCAGUAUCAGGUUACAACUACCAAUCAAGCAAUCACAGCUCUGAAAAUGCUUAGAGAAAACAAAAACAAGUAUGAUCUGGUUAUCAGCGAUGUUAAUAUGCCUGACAUGGAUGGCUUUAAGCUACUUGAACUUGUGGGGCUUGAAAUGGACCUACCCGUCAUCAUGUUAUCAGCACAUAGUGAUAAGGAGCUUGUAUAUAAGGGGGUUACACAUGGUGCUGUUGACUACUUGCUAAAGCCUGUGAGAAUUGAGGAACUCAAGAACAUAUGGCAACAUGUGAUCAGGAGGAAAAAAUUACAACCCAAGGACCAAAAUACGUCCCCAAAUCAAGACAAACCUCUUGAUGGAGCAGGAGGAAGUGGACAAGGAGUGUCAUCAAGUGGUAGUGCGGAUCAGAAUGGAAAAGUGAAUCGGAAAAGAAAGGACCAAGAUGAAGAUGAGGAAGAAGAGGGUGAAGAGAAUUUACAUGAGAAUGAAGAACCAGGGACUCAGAAGAAGCCCCGGGUUGUUUGGUCUGUGGAGCUGCAUAGGAAGUUUGUUGCAGCUGUUAAUCAAUUGGGUCUUGACAAGGCUGUUCCAAAGAAAAUUCUUGACCUUAUGAAUGUUGAAGGGCUUACAAGGGAAAAUGUGGCAAGCCAUCUGCAGAAAUAUAGGCUCUAUCUGAAAAGAAUCAGUAGUGUAGCAUCCCAACAAGCCAAUAUGGUUGCUGCAUUUGGGGGUAAAGAUUCCUCUUAUUUACGCAUGGGUUCUCUAGAUGGAUUUGGAGAUUUUCGCACUUUGAGUGGACCGGGGAGGCUUUCAAGCACAUCUAUAUCAUCAUAUACACCAGGGGGUAUGCUUGGCAGAUUGAACUCUCCUGGUGGUUUAACCUUGCGAGGUAUAUCUUCUUCUGGUCUUCUCCAGUCUGGCCAUUCCCAAUCUCUGAGUAAUUCUGUUAAUACUCUUGGAAAGUUUCAGCCGGCUCUUUUGCCUGCAAGCCAAGGUGCAAAUUUGUUUCAAGGUGUUCAAUCAUCAGUGGAGCCUAACCAGCUGCAGGCAAAAUCCAAUACUCACAUUGGAGAAUUUAAUCGCAAUGAUGAUACAGCAGGCUUUACACUUGCAACUAGCUUCUCAGAUGGCAGAGUGACAAUUGGUGGCUUGAGUAAUACAGUGUCCAGUUCCACAAGUAACCCUUUGAUGCUACAAGUGAACCCCCAACAAAGUCAGAGUAGGGAAGCGUUUGCAACUCAAUCUUCUCUAAGUGUGCCUUCAUUGAAUCAGGAGUCUUUUGAUGUUGAUGUCCAUGGCUCGUCAAAUUUUCUGGAUCAUAGUAGAUGCACUGAAAACUGGCAGGGUGCUGUUCAAUUAUCCAAAUUUACAGCAAAUUCUUUACCUUUGAGUGAACCAUUCAGUCAUGAUUCAUUGUCCACAAGUAAUUUGAGAGACAAUAUAUCAUCCACCAUCUCUCAGAUUGGUAAUGGCCUGAAUGAUUUUUCUUCCUCCAGUGUGCUUGGCACACCUUCAGAUUCCCGAGUAGAUAUGCAAGGGCAAACAAGCUCAAUGGGUGAUGUUGUUCAGAAUAUGAGUUACAAUUCAAGACAGAGGUGGGAAGAACAUAGCCAGGAUUAUAAUCCCAACCUAAAUAAUUCAUUCAGCAACAUAAACUCUUUUGUUUCUGGCAAUGGCGUUGUGGGUUCAUUGAGCCAAACUAUGGACCAGAGAAAGAAGUUUGAUGUGCCUUUGCAUGGCCAGUUAAACAAUGUCACACCAUCCAUUUUCCAGCAUGGUGAAGUUGAGAACUCUGCCUUGGACCCAAAAAUGAGGUCCAAUGAGGACUACCUUUUGGAGCAAACAAAGUCUCAGAAUGGUUUUGCUCAAAACAAUUAUGAGUCAUUGGAUGAUAUGAUGAAUGCUAUGAUAAAACGGGAGCAAAAUGAAACAAUGCUAAUGGAUGGAGAGUUUGGAUUUGACGCAUACUCCCUCGGAUCAUGUUUGUGAGACUGCUAUAGCUGAAUUGUAGAGGAAAAACAGGGCAGACAAAAUCCCCAAGUCCACUCCUCAUCUGGAGGAAUUUGUACCAUCUUGUAACUUGUUCUACAUUUCAUUUUCUUUUAACCCCAUCUUCCCUUUUCCUGCCCUCUUCCCAAUAUACUUUCUUCUUCCCCUUUCUUUGUUAUUCUCUGUUACUAUGGUUAGUUCCUGCUUAAUAUUGAUAGCAGAAUUCCUAGUUUCUCAAUUCUUUCUUAAUCUCCUUUUUCUCAAUCUACUAUAGUUCAUCUUUCUUAACACUGUUUUGAGCUGAACUUGGGUUUAAUUCAUUUAUUUUUCAGAUAA
rnacentral:misc_RNA from 1 species